GAUAACACUUAGAAAUAGGUGCUAAUACCGCAUAAGCGCACGGCUCCGCAUGGGGCAGUGUGAAAAACUCCGGUGGUAUACGAUGGAUCCGCGUCUGAUUAGCUAGUUGGCGGGGUAACGGCCCACCAAGGCAGCGAUCAGUAGCCGGCCUGAGAGGGUGGACGGCCACAUUGGGACUGAGACACGGCCCAAACUCCUACGGGAGGCAGCAGUGGGGAAUAUUGCACAAUGGGGGAAACCCUGAUGCAGCGACGCCGCGUGAGUGAAGAAGUAUCUCGGUACGUAAAGCUCUAUCAGCAGGGAAGAAAAUGACGGUACCUGACUAAGAAGCCCCGGCUAACUACGUGCCAGCAGCCGCGGUAAUACGUAGGGGGCAAGCGUUAUCCGGAUUUACUGGGUGUAAAGGGAGCGUAGACGGCAGCACAAGUCUGGAGUGAAAGGCCGGGGCCCAACCCCGGGACUGCUCUGGAAACUAUUGAACUUGAGUGCAGGAGAGGUAAGCGGAAUUCCUAGUGUAGCGGUGAAAUGCGUAGAUAUUAGGAGGAACACCAGUGGCGAAGGCGGCCUGCUGGACGAUGACUGACGUUGAGGCUCGAAAGCGUGGGGAGCAAACAGGAUUAGAUACCCUGGUAGUCCACGCCGUAAACGAUGACUACUAGGUGU
rnacentral:rRNA from 1 species